rnacentral:rRNA from 1 species
UAAUACGUAGGGACCAAGCGUUGUUCGGAUUUACUGGGCGUAAAGGGCGCGUAGGCGGCGUGGUAAGUCAGCUGUGAAAUCUCCGAGCUUAACUCGGAACGGUCAGCUGAUACUGCUGUGCUAGAGUACAGAAAGGGCAAUCGGAAUUCUUGGUGUAGCGGUGAAAAGCGUAGAUAUCAAGAGGAACACCUGAGGCGAAGGCGGGUUGCUAGGCUGAUACUGACGCUGAGGCGCGAAAGCUAGGGUAGCAAACGGG